rnacentral:rRNA from 1 species
CCGGGAAGAGCUCAAAUUUGAAAUCUGGCGUGCUCAGUGCGUCCGAGUUGUAAUCUAUAGAGGCGUUUUCCGUGCCGGACUGUGUCUAAGUCCCUUGGAACAGGGUAUCAAAGAGGGUGAUAAUCCCGUACUUGACACAAUGACCGGUGCUCUGUGAUACGUCUUCUACGAGUCGAGUUGUUUGGGAAUGCAGCUCAAAAUGGGUGGUGAGUUCCAUCUAAAGCUAAAUAUUGGCGAGAGACCGAUAGCGAACAAGUACCGUGAGGGAAAGAUGAAAAGCACUUUGGAAAGAGAGUUAAACAGUACGUGAAAUUGUUGAAAGGGAAACGAUUGAAGUCAGUCGUGACUGAGAGGCUCAGCCGGUUCUGCCGGUGUAUUCCCCUCAGUCGGGUCAACAUCAGUUUUGUUCGGUGGAUAAGGGCAGCUGGAAGGUGGCACCUCCGGGUGUGUUAUAGCCAGCUGUCGCAUACAUCGAAUGAGACUGAGGAAUGCAGCUCGCCUUUAUGGCCGGGGUUCGCCCACGUCCGAGCUUAGGAUGUUGACAUAAUGGCUUUAAACGACCCGUCUU